UACGUAGGGGGCAAGCGUUGUCCGGAAUCAUUGGGCGUAAAGAGCGUGUAGGCGGCUCGAUAAGUCUGCUGUGAAAGUCCAGGGCUCAACCCUGGAAGGCCGGUGGAAACUGUCGGGCUAGAGUCCGGAAGAGGCGAGUGGAAUUCCCGGUGUAGCGGUGAAAUGCGCAGAUAUCGGGAGGAACACCAGUGGCGAAGGCGAGUCUCUGGGCUGUAUCUGACGCUGAUGCGCGAAAGCUAGGGGAGCAAACGGG
rnacentral:rRNA from 1 species